rnacentral:lncRNA from 1 species
CCAUUUGCCCCAAUGCCUCUGUCUCACACCCCUAUAAAGCUUCGCAGCUUUUGGUGGGGUGGAAGAGACAUGUUUCAUAGGAACAGGCUUUGGUGAAAGAAAGCCCACCCUUGGGUUCUCAAAGGUUGUUGUUGGUGGUGUUGCAACAGCCGCCAUGGAAGCAACCUGUUGCUGCUGUUGUUGAUGUAAUAUUUGGGAUUGAAUUUGAAGGAUUUGAGAAGGGGUGAGUUGGUUAAGCCCAAGUGAACUACCUGUUUGCUCAAAACCCAACAUGUUCUUGUUAUAGUUAGAGAACCCAUGGUUUGAAAA